rnacentral:rRNA from 1 species
AUGGUGGAACCGAACAGAUCGGCCGGUUCCAAGAGCUCCACCACCACCACCACCGUGAGGAAGAAGAAGCUGGCGGCGACAUCACCGGCCACCCCCAAGCCGGACAAGGAGAAGCUUCCAGAUGGCGGCAAGAAGCACCAGAGCAGCCAUGGCAGCUCUGCAACUGCUGCUGCUGCCGACAGCCCGUCCUACAGGCUGGCUCUCAGGAGCCUCUUCUCCUGCCGGAACAGCCACGCGGCACAGCACCAGCACAACCAGCGCGCCGCCCCGCCGCAGCCGGCACCGGCGCCGGCAGACGACGCCUCCAGCAGGAGGUGCAAGAAGAAGUCCAAGAAGCAGACGCAGCUCGGCUGCUCCGCCUCCAUCUGCAAGCUCCGGGACGCCAGCCCGCGCAGGGUCACGCUGCACCGCCCGCCCGCCGAGGAGGAGCCGCCCUCCGGCGCCGCAACGGGAGCUGGCGAGCCGUGCAAGCGCCGGGCGUCGGUGAGCGGGGGCGGCGAGCGGCGGGUGAAGAAGCCCCUGCAGCAGCCGCAGCAUGGGCAGGGGAACGAGGCGGCAGCGGCGGGCGCCGUGGUGGUGGGCUCGUCGUCCAGGCACUGGGGUUCGUCCACGGCGUCCUCGUCCUCCUCGACGGCGGGCGGCGGCGGCGGGUCGUCGUUCAGGCUGCGCAGGCUGUCCGGGUGCUACGAGUGCCACAUGGUGGUGGACCCCGCCGGCGGCGGCUCGUCCAUGCGCGCCGCCAUCUUCCCCUGCCCCGACUGCGGCGACGUCUUCGUCCGCGCCGAGAGCCUCCACCUCCACCAGUCCACACGCCACGCAGUGUCGGAGCUGGGGCCGGAGGACACGAGCCGGAACAUCAUCGAGAUAAUCUUCCAGUCGAGCUGGCUCAAGAAGCAGACCCCGGUGUGCGCCGUGGACCGCAUCCUCAAGGUGCACAACGCGCCCGCCACCCUCGCCCGCUUCGAGGCCUACCGCGACGCCGUCAAGGCCAGGGCGCGCGGGGGACGGCCGGGCGCGGGGCGAUGCACCGCCGACGGCAACGAGCUGCUCCGCUUCCACUGCGCCGCGCUCGCAUGCUCCCUGGGCGCCGGCGGCGCCACCCAUCUCUGCGACGCGGCCGGCUCGUCCUGUGCGGCGUGUGGGAUUGUUCGGGAUGGGUUCAAGUUCAGGGCGCCCGGGGUCCGGACCAUGGCCACCAGCGGCCGCGCGCACGAUGAUGCGGUGGGUGGGGAGGAGGGGGAGGGUGGUGGUGAGCGGCGCAGGGCCAUGCUCGUUUGCCGGGUCAUCGCCGGCCGGGUGAAGCGCCGCUGCGAGGGCACGGCGGACAAGGAGGAGGCGGAAGCGUCGCCGUCGGCAGAGGAGGAAGCGGAGGAGGAGUACGACUCGGUUGCGGGGACGGCGGGGGUGUACUCGAGCCUGGACGAGCUGGAGGUGUUCAACCCCACCGCCAUUCUACCCUGCUUCGUCGUCGUCUACAAGGCUUGA